UUAAUUGAAGAGUUUGAUCAUGGCUCAGAUUGAACGCUGGCGGCAGGCCUAACACAUGCAAGUCGAGCGGCAGCACAAGGGAGUUUACUCCUGAGGUGGCGAGCGGCGGACGGGUGAGUAAUGCCUAGGGAUCUGCCCAGUCGAGGGGGAUAACAGUUGGAAACGACUGCUAAUACCGCAUACGCCCUACGGGGGAAAGAGGGGGACCUUCGGGCCUCUCGCGAUUGGAUGAACCUAGGUGGGAUUAGCUAGUUGGUGAGGUAAUGGCUCACCAAGGCGACGAUCCCUAGCUGUUCUGAGAGGAUGAUCAGCCACACUGGGACUGAGACACGGCCCAGACUCCUACGGGAGGCAGCAGUGGGGAAUAUUGCACAAUGGGGGAAACCCUGAUGCAGCCAUGCCGCGUGUGUGAAGAAGGCCUUCGGGUUGUAAAGCACUUUCAGUAGGGAGGAAAGGGUGAGUCUUAAUACGGCUCAUCUGUGACGUUACCUACAGAAGAAGGACCGGCU
rnacentral:rRNA from 1 species